CCUACGGGAGGCAGCAGUGGGGAAUAUUGGGCAAUGGAGGAAACUCUGACCCAGCAACGCCGCGUGAAUGAUGAAGGUCUUCGGAUUGUAAAGUUCUUUUCUAAGGGAAGAAGAAAGUGACGGUACCUUAGGAAUAAGCCUCGGCUAACUACGUGCAAGCAGCCGCGGUAAUACGUAGGAGGCGAGCGUUAUCCGGAAUGACUGGGCGUAAAGGGGGCGUAGGUGGUUUGGCAAGUUAGUAGCGUAACUCCAAGGCUCAACCUUGGAACUACUACUAAAACUGUUGGACUUGAGUGCAGGAGGGGCAACCGGAAUUCCUAGUGUAGCGGUGGAAGGCGUAGAUAUUAGGAGGAACACCAGUGGCGAAGGCGGGUUGCUAGACUGUAACUGACACUGAGGCACGAAAGCGUGGGGAGCAAACAGGAUUAGAUACCCGGGUAGUC
rnacentral:rRNA from 1 species